AGGGAAAGAAGGGGCUGCGGCUGCGGCGAUGGCAGCUGCAGUUGGAAGAGAAGAAGGAGAGGAAGAUGAGCAAGGGAGGAAGAAGAGGCUGUGGCCAUGGCUGAGGCUGCGACUGCAGUAGUGCAGCUGGGAAAGAAGAGAAGGAAAGGAAGAAGAAGAGAAAGGAAAAGGGAAGAAUAGAGGAAGAGGAGAAGGGGACGCAGUUGUGGCAGUGGCAGUUGCAGCUGGAAGAGAAGGAGAGGAAAUAGAGCAGGGGAGGAAGAAGAGGCUGCGACUGUGGUGGCUGCGACCAUGGCUGCGACUGCGACUGCGGCAGUUGCAGCUGGGAAAGAAAAGAAAGGAAAGGGGGAAAAAGGGGCUACGGACGGGAUUGCGGCCGCAGCGGCAUCGACUGCGUAUGCAGUAGUUAUGUCUGUGAGAGAAGGGAGCAAGGAAGUAGUAUAGUGGAAGGGGCUGCGGUUGUGACAGCAGCUGCGGUCGUGGCUACGACUGUGGUAGUGGCAGUGGCGAUGGCUGUGACAGCUAUGUUUGAAAAGAAAACGAAGGAAUGAGAGUAAGAGAGAGCAGGUGACUAUGCCUCUAUGUUCUGCAUGAGCUGCAAUUGUGGAGGAAAAAGA
rnacentral:lncRNA from 1 species